rnacentral:rRNA from 1 species
AGAGUUUGAUCCUGGCUCAGGAUGAACGCUGGCGGUCUGCUUAACACAUGCAAGUCGAACGCAUCUUUCGGGGUGAGUGGCGGACGGGUGAGUAACGCGUGAGAAUCUGCCUAGAGGUCGGGGACAACCAUUGGAAACGAUGGCUAAUACCGGAUAUGCCUUACGGGGUGAAAGAUUAAUUGCCUUUAGAAGAGCUCGCGUCUGAUUAGCUAGUUGGUAGGGUAAAAGCCUACCAAGGCAUCGAUCAGUAGCUGGUCUGAGAGGAUGACCAGCCACACUGGGACUGAGACACGGCCCAGACUCCUACGGGAGGCAGCAGUGGGGAAUUUUCCGCAAUGGGCGAAAGCCUGACGGAGCAAGACCGCGUGAGGGAGGAAGGCUCUUGGGUCGUAAACCUCUUUUGUCAGGGAAGAACAAAAUGACGGUACCUGACGAAUCAGCAUCGGCUAACUCCGAGCCAGCAGCCGCGGUAAUACGGAGGAUGCAAGCGUUAUCCGGAAUUAUUGGGCGUAAAGCGUCCGCAGGUGGCUGAUCAAGUCUGCGGUCAAAGACCGGGGCUUAACCCUGGAAAGGCCGUGGAAACUGAUCAAGCUAGAGUACCGUAGGGGUAGAGGGAAUUCCCGGUGUAGCGGUGAAAUGCGUAGAGAUCGGGAAGAACAUCGGUGGCGAAAGCGCUCUACUGGACGGUGACUGACACUCAGGGACGAAAGCUAGGGGAGCGAAUGGGAUUAGAUACCCCCGUAGUCC